UACGAAGGGGGCUAGCGUUGCUCGGAAUCACUGGGCGUAAAGGGUGCGUAGGCGGGUUUUUAAGUCAGAGGUGAAAUCCUGGAGCUCAACUCCAGAACUGCCUUUGAUACUGGGAAUCUUGAGUAUGGAAGAGGUGAGUGGAACUGCGAGUGUAGAGGUGAAAUUCGUAGAUAUUCGCAAGAACACCAGUGGCGAAGGCGGCUCACUGGCCCGGUACUGACGCUGAGGUGCGAAAGCGUGGGGAGCAAACAGGG
rnacentral:rRNA from 1 species